CUCCUGCAUUCCCCGCGACCCUCGUGAGGACAAGUGGCUCAGACAAUGUCUGGAUGGGUAAUAAGUAAUUAGCCAAUGAUUUCUAGAAAUUCAGGAUUUGUAGAUGACCUUGGCCAAGCCUGGGCCUCCGCAGUGGAUCAGCCAAGUCCAGACAACCUUUAGAAAUGAGGCGGCCCUGAACACGGCGGGGCUGGGAUGGAUGAAGCGGCUGUGGCAUCGGAGGAGAUGGUGCCUUUGGAGACCAUGAAAGAACUCAUGGAGCUGUUGUGUGAUGAAUUGGGUUUCCUCACGGAGGACAAACUGCAGCCAUUGGAAACCUUGGACAAGAUUACUGUUGUGAAGCUAAAGGCUCUUCUUCAUGCAUGUUCACAUUGACUUUUUUUACAUUGACUGCACAGGUAUCAUACACUGUGCUGUGUUUCAAUCUGUCAAACUUUGGCUGGAGUGUAUUUUGUUGCUUCUCCCAAGUUUUUCGAAUGGAAAUUGGCCUGACCUUCUUGCUCAAGCACCAGCAGAGGCACCCAGUUGAGGUUCUGUAUCUCAAUAAUCGAAUGCAAUUGCCUUUUAAGAUAAUGUUUUUAUUUUUUUAGGGCCGUUCUAGUGCUUCAAUUAAAUCCGGUGACAAGUCACAGGGAAGUGCCACCAGUUAAGCAUGUACUGUAAUCCGAACCACAUCUUGCCUGCUCUUAAGGAAUUAUAGCCACUUCAGGAAUGUCUUAAAAUCAUAAUCUAAUUAGUCGUGUAUAAUAGAGCAACAAUUAUUAGGACUCACUGAUGAACAAAUUAACAGCUUGAUGAUAGAAUGGAUUUAAUGAUGAUGGGAGGUUGAAUGAUAGGCUUAAUGGUUGGACAGAUAAAUAAUUGGAGGUCAAUGAGUGUUACCUGAAAGUUGUUGUGUUCAUUUCCCUGCCCGGUGGGUCCUUGCUGAUCUCCCAUUCGUGCUUUGUGGUGGACCUUAUUAUGGUAAUUAGUUCAGCGUUGCACCAGAAAAGCCGACAAUAAGAUAAGCAAAGUGCUGACACAAGCUGAUAUGACUAAUAGUUAGCUUUGAGACUCAUAUCCUCCUUUCAUCAUAAUCAUUAGUUUCCAGCUUUGCCUCAGCAUCCCAAAGUUUUUUUUCAGUUUCCUCAUUUAAAAUGUGUUCACAAAAGAUGAGGAAAAUCCAAAGAAAUUAUGUACGACAUGGGGCCAGCUGGUGCAGAAGUAACCGUUCAACUGCUGAGAAAUGUUAUGAGGGAAAAUAUUCAGCUUCAAGUGCGUCCUCAACAAGCUAUCAUUACAGCAGAUACUCAGCAUUUUCCCUCAGGACACAAACCAUUGGUUUCUCAUUAAAGUGAUCCACUGUAUGUGGCGUGGGAUAUCUUGCUAUAUGUAAUCACUCAAAGUUAAUUCACAUGCCAAAUCACGUUCAGGAUGUGUUGACGCAUUAGUGGCACUGUUGUAAAUUAAUAAGCGUUGAAUAGCAGAAAAAGCACAUGAAUCAUGCUCAUUACUGAAGUGUGAACAGUCCAGUGUGCACUUCCAUGAGUGUUCCAGCCCAUUGAAAAGAACAUCAGCAAUCAACCACUCACUUCUGCUUUAUGUCAACCUUUCAGCAUCACUUAAUUUAAUGUAAUUGUGUGAUUGUAGUUGACUCCAAGGGUUUGCAGUAUAGGAUACCUGCAUCAGUUUCCUAUGUCCAAAUCUUCAAAUCAAAACAAAACUAACAACUGAAACUAAAAUUAUCGAAAAUAGCAUAACUUGCAAAAAAAAACAAACAAGAGAAAGACUCAAGCAAAUAAUAAAACAAAUCAAAGACUGACUCAAGAAAUAAGUAACACAAAACAUGCUCUUAAAACGCUGUUUAAAUCCUCCCAGCAUGUAAAUAGCGUCCUCCACUGCC